CCUACGGGAGGCAGCAGUGGGGAAUAUUGGACAAUGGGCGAAAGCCUGAUCCAGCAAUGCCGCGUGAGUGAUGAAGGCCUUAGGGUUGUAAAGCUCUUUUACCAGGGAUGAUAAUGACAGUACCUGGAGAAUAAGCUCCGGCUAACUCCGUGCCAGCAGCCGCGGUAAUACGGAGGGAGCUAGNGUUGUUCGGAAUUACUGGGCGUAAAGCGUACGUAGGCGGUUAUUCAAGUCAGAGGUGAAAGCCUGGAGCUCAACUCCAGAACUGCCUUUGAAACUAGGUAGCUAGAAUCACGGAGAGGUUAGUGGAAUUCCGAGUGUAGAGGUGAAAUUCGUAGAUAUUCGGAAGAACACCAGUGGCGAAGGCGACUAACUGGACGUGUAUUGACGCUGAGGUACGAAAGCGUGGGGAGCAAACAGGAUUAGAUACCCUGGUAGUCCACGCCGUAAACGAUGAUAACUAGCUGUUCGGUCUCUACGAGACUGAGUGGCGCAGCUACGACAUAAGUUAUCCGUCCGUCGGGAGGUACGGUCGCGAGAAGUUAAACGUUAAAGGUAAAGUUAAGUACGGUCGUUGAGUACGUUGCGAACGGACGACGACGAGGGAGGAGG
rnacentral:rRNA from 1 species